CCAGGCAGCCUCCUUGACGAUGUUCAUCUUGGAAUGAACGAGCAACUUGGCCAGCAAUGGGCAGGCACCAGCAGCCAGGACGGAAUCGAUAAGAGAAUUAA